ACCACUGAGCCAUCUCUCCAGCCCCCAAAAUAAAAUCUUAGAAAAAAAAAAAGAGAGAGAUGUUGGGCUGGAGAGAUGGCUCAGCAGU
rnacentral:pre_miRNA from 1 species